GUGCGCGCUCUCCCGGCCAACAGAUACCGGCGGUGUGGUCCUCUCUCUGGGAAGAUACCGGUGCUGAGCGCGGGGGCCUGAGCAGAGCCAGCAGGCGGGCUUCACCGAGGUCCUCUGAUGACACCAGUCAUCCAUUGGAUAUGACGAGUAAAGCCGAGGAGGCGGGGUACAGCGGCCAGCAGGUGGUGAUCCCACCUACCCCUGCUCCACGCCUCUGCCCUCCUGCUCCACCCUCCACGCCUGCUGGCCUGGCACAGCCCGCCUCCAGCAGCAGCAUCAGCGAGUAUCAGGAAGUGCGGGCGCUGCGAGUGGUGGGCGGUGGAGGGCAUCAGCGGAAGGAAGAAGCGGGAUACUCUGCUAAAAUUGUACGACAGCUGGCGAAGGUGAACUUGGCGGUGGCGUCCAUCCUGUUUCUGUGUCAGCUGGUGGUAGCGGCGUGUCUGUGUCGGCCAGUGGUGAUAAUGGGGGGACUGUGGGUGGGCAUCCUGGUGCUAGUGCAGGCCGUCCUCGGACUCCGAGCCGCCAACACCACCUUCUCUCACGCUCUAGUACUGGGUCACGCCUGGGUGUCCGGAGUGGUGAGUGUGGUGUGUCUGGCAGCCGCUGGCUACCUGUGUUCCGGCCACCUCACUCUCGCCUGCAUCUCCACCUUCCACAGGCCCGACCACGCUUCAGUGGUGCGGCUGUACGUGGUGGAGGUGGUGGCACUGGUGGCUUCCCUGCCCAGCCUCACGGGUGCCAUAGUCUCCCUCCUGGGUGCCGCGCUCUCGGCGCGGGCCGUCUGUCCGCCCAAGCAGAAGCCACAGGCACCAUACGUGCUGUACCUGCCACGCUGGGGGGAGAGUACUUACGGCAGUGACCAACACACCAUCGUCCAAUCACAAGCCAGGACUCCCGUGACGUCACAGCCAUCACCCCGACCCUCAGCCAAUCAGUGUGCAGGGAGGACCAGCUCGCCUCCACCCGCAUAUAAUCAGAUUGCCGAGGAAUCAUUUGCUUAGUGCGGGUCAUCUCAGCGUGGAUUACAGACACGUUGUCCGGCAAUCAUUACCUUAAUCCUUAAUAAUAGGCUUUACAUGGAGCGUAGUUUUACCUUCAGAGAGCAUUGAAGAGUUUGUAAGCAAUAAGCCAAAAUGUGCUUAUUGACUAUCUCCGACAUACAUCAUUGGCUCUGGUAAGACAAGCUUAAACAAAUUAAGGCAAAUAUUUUAAACGAUCCUGCUUGUGCAGGGCCCUUUGAGAGGGUUGUUCUCGGUAGAUUGAUGGUGUCAAUCAAAAGUUCUCGCUCCUAACUGGCAUGACUUUCUUAUUGGUAGAGGCCACCGCCAACUGAGCCCCACCAGUAAUUGAGCCCCACCGCCAACUGAGCCCCACCAGUAAUUGAGCCCCACCGCCAACUGAGCCCCACCAGUAAUUGAGCCCCACCGCCAACUGAGCCCCACCAGUAAUUGAGCCCCACCGCCAACUGAGCCCCACCAGUAAUUGAGCCCCACCGCCAACUGAGCCCCACCAGUAAUUGAGCCCCACCGCCAACUGAGCCCCACCAGUAAUUGAGCCCCACCGCCAACUGAGCCCCACCAGUAAUUGAGCCCCACCGCCAACUGAGCCCCACCAGUAAUUGAGCCCCACCGCCAACUGAGCCCCACCAGUAAUUGAGCCCCACCGCCAACUGAGCCCCACCAGUAAUUGAGCCCCACCGCCAACUGAGCCCCACCAGUAAUUGAGCCCCACCGCCAACUGAGCCCCACCAGUAAUUGAGCCCCACCGCCAACUGAGCCCCACCAGUAAUUGAGCCCCACCGCCAACUGAGCCCCACCAGUAAUUGAGCCCCACCGCCAACUGAGCCCCACCAGUAAUUGAGCCCCACCGCCAACUGAGCCCCACCAGUAAUUGAGCCCCACCGCCAACUGAGCCCCACCAGUAAUUGAGCCCCACCGCCAACUGAGCCCUACCAGUAAUUGAGCCCCACCGCCAAUUGAGCCCCACCAGUAAUUGAGCCCCACCGCCAAUUGAGCCCCACCGCCAACUAAGCCCACUCUGGCAUCCAUAUAGUUAUGUUGCUACUCUUUGUCUCCGCGCUUUCUAACAAUACUAAUUUCUCACGCUUAAUACCAUACCUGCAAAAUAUAUAAAUAAACCAUUCCCGUUAA
rnacentral:misc_RNA from 1 species